GUGUUGUAUGAAAGGAAAGGAGGUUAGCACUGCCCUGGAUAAGGAUAGAAGAAGCAUUGGUCCUAACAACACACGUUUAAGNCAAUAUACUGUCUACAAGCAACUCACCUU
rnacentral:ncRNA from 1 species